CUUUAAAUUUAAGAAAUUUGGCGGUGUUUUAGUCUAGUUAGAGGAACCUGUAUUAUAAACGAUAUAACACGCAUUAUUUUACUUAUUUUAGUAAACAGUUUGUAUACCGUCAUUAUGAGAUAAUUUAAGAGAGAAUAUUAUUAAGAUCAUAUUAUUGAGUAUAUUAGAUCAAGGUGCAGCUUAUGAAUAAGUAAAUAUGGGUUACAAUAAAAUUUAUUUAAUAUGGAUUAUAUAUUUAAAUAUAUUUAUGAAGGAGGAUUUAAUUGUAAGAGGGGGAGUAGUAAGAUUUUCUGAUAAAAGCUCUAAAUUAUGUACAUAUCGCCCGUCGCU
rnacentral:rRNA from 1 species